rnacentral:lncRNA from 1 species
UUUGGAAUUUGAAAAGUUUUCACGUAUGAAUACUUUAAUUCCAAGUUAGCCCUUAGAAUUUUAAAAGUUAAAAUUCAACCCUUAUACUUUAUAAUAUUAUAAGUUAAUAAUAUAUAUAUGUAUAAGAGUAAAGUCAGUCUUACCGCUAGUACGCCUCAUUCACGAAGCCGGUCUAUAAGGUGGGUAUAAGGUUGUUGCCUAUAAAAUGGCAACUUAAUGGGUGUCCACUCUCACCCACCGCUUGCUUGACUGGUGGAGGGUCGUUAGCCGAACGGGUUUGACAGGACUAGAAUUCUCCCUUCAUUAAAAGUAUUAAUGAUAAUACUAAGUAACUAAACUCUUAAUAAUACCCAAUCUUAGUUACUUAGGAAAAAUGUGAAUAAGGUGCUAAUCCAUGAAAUUACACUUUACACUUUGUCUAAGUCGUUAGUGGAGCGUGUGUGGUUAACCGGCACACUAACUUGGACUUAACAAGGUAGGUAAAGGGUGACUUAAUAUUUAUCAUAGUAUCGAUGGAGCGUGUGUGGUUAACCGGCACAUCGAUUGAGGGGUAAUUUAUUAAGGGUACCAAGUGAUUUGCAUGGUUACUUCACACCUUGUUUUGUGAUCCUCGGCAUCCCAGUCACAAAACCUGAAGGGCACACUCGAGAUUGAAACAUGCCUUUGAAAAGUUCAAUGAAUCUCAAAGAUCUAGGAGUUUCAAAACCAAUUAAAACCUAAUAAUACAUUUCGUUUAUCUUGGUGGAAAUUGGUGAAUCGUCAUUCACCUACCUUCAAAUAUUUUAUAGCUUGGAUUACGGCAUACCUCUUCUAAGUUAUAAAAUAGUUUGUUGGGUCCUAGCCUUAAUAUUUCAUAUUGGGUGUCAUAUUAAGGACUUUAAAUCAACUAUCUUGAAUAUCUCCCAAAAGAUGUCUGGUUUAGACACCUAUGAUCUUCCCAAAUCUCUUGAAACAAGGUUUCCUAAUGAAGAUGAUGUCCCAUGGAUAUCAUACUUCUUCACCUCUUCAAAUUAUUCUCCCUAACCCACAAGUUCUUGAAAAGUUUAAGGUCACUCAGGCCCUAUUGGCAAGGCAAGGUCUAGGUGUGGUCACAUCUUGGAGAUGUAGUCACAUAUUGACAAGCCGGGAGAGUUGGGUGUCAAAGUCUUGAGAAAGUUGGUGGUUCAACCACUUUCUAAGUCACAUAGUGAGUUCCUUUGGGACACCUAUGAAACAGACUAUGACAAGACCCUUAAUGAUCUUAUCUAUUUGCUAAGAUCAACUUCCUAAAACUUUAUGGACAUUGACAAUGAUGACAUUGGAUAUCCAGUAAAGCAUUCUCUUCCCAAUGGAAAGGGAUCGGCCAUAGUCAACUCGGUUGACCAAAUGGUAAAGAGAAAAGCUAAGUCUGUGAUAGUCCCGUGUACCAUUAUCAAAGGGUCCAUAUGUUUAUAUUGCCAAAGGAAGGGGCAUUGGUUGCGAAGCUGCCAAAUUUACCUAAGGAUGUUAAAGUCAAUAAGUUUGACUCUACUUCAGGUAAAGUCCACUAUCUAACUCUGUUAAGUUUCUAUUCUGAGAUUCUUGAUACAUGAUGUGACUGGGUCACAUGGUGAUGUUUUAAGAAUCAAAGAAAAGUGAAGAAACUUAAAGAAAGAAUAUGCUGAAUCUGAUGGCGUAGAUGGAUUUCUAUCGCAUAGUUUGAAGAUCGGAUUCUUGAGCUACUUCUUAGGAGUUAUGAGAUAUUGCUUAGGAAUAGAUAACAACAAGUUUUCAUAUGGAUUGUAAGGAUAAGUUUUUCCGCAAAGUUUUAAAAUAAAAGAAAAUUUUUUUGAUUUUAUUUAUUUUAAAAUAUCCUUACAAUGGCAUUUGAGGAAAAAUUGUUGCUUAUAUGAUUCCAUUAAGAGCAAGAGUGGAAAUAUGAAAUUGAUUCUUUCAUUUGUGGUAAUGUCUAAAUUUACCAAAUAAGGAAAGAUUCUCAUCACCCAAGUUUCAAUUGGACCGGAACUUGGAAUCAUGCAAGUUGUAUAGCAUGAUGAAUGAGAACUUUCAAGUUUUGGAAAAUUAAGACUAAUUACUUGUUCACAUGGAUGUGUGAGUCAAGUAAAGGACUUAGGGAUCGAGUACACAUUCUUGUGCACUGAUUAAGUCCACCACUAAAGAUCGAUAAGAAGAAUCAAAUAAGGCAGAAGGAUAAAAGUUUCUCAAAUCUGAAAAGAUGGGAGAGUACUUUAGUAUCAGUUUUGUGAUCAUCUUAAUGAUUAAGAAACCAUAUCAAAAUUAGUUCUCUAAGGAAAUCUUAGUGCAUUCUUAUGACUAAGAAGAGGAACUUGAAUUGUUGAAAUGGUUAAAUCAAGAAGAUGAGUCAUACUUCGUUCCAAUACAAGUCUUAGAGUCAUACUCCAAGAUUGUCAUUUGAGUGACAUGUCUUAAAGAAGGUUUAAAACACUUGUCAAAUGUAAGAGUAAAAGUUUUCUACUCUUGUACAUUUGAAAUUGGUAAGUUGUGAUGUUUUGGAUAAAACAAAGACCAACUUAGGCCAAUUGGGUAAAGUGUUUUUCUUGAUUAGAAUCCGCACUAUCUCUUGGAUGUUUGACAAGGGAGUCUUAUAUGUCAAGAGGACAGUGGGAGUCUUAAAGGUCUUGAAAGUCUCAAGAAAUAAUCAAGAAUAAAACCUAAAGUUCUUCACUAGCACACGACUUGAGGUUUAUAACCUAUCGUGUUGACAUAUCUGUGCCCAUUCCAGUUAAAGUUGGCUUUGCAUAUGAGUUCUUAGAGUUCUCAGUUUGUUGCAUAACAACUUGGAAGCAAUGGCAGGCCCUUGAGCUGCCAGGUGGCAAGAAGUUAAGAUUGAGUUCAAUCCAUAUGGUUUUGGAUUUGUCAUUAUCUUUGUCUUGUGAUUAUGGUUUGACAAAUUCAUAUGGGUAGGAACUCAUACACCAUAUAAAUCUAAGUGUCAUAAGGUUUCUCUCCGAUUCAUGAAAAUGAUGGUGAGGAAACGCUUUCACUAAGUAGAUUUUACGAAGAUAUCAAUUGUGUUAUUUGCAUUUUCAAAAGUCGUUAGUGGAGCGCGUGUGGUUAACCGGCACACUAACAUGGACUUGUGAGAAAUGGCAAAUGCCUAAGCAAUUGAGACCAUGAUUACGGUAUCCCUUUUCAUGGUUCUUGAAAUUGCUUAGACACACAGGUGAGCUAUCUACGGAAAGGGUGUAUGAAUCUAAAUUUCAGACUGUCCAGCUGAUUUCUGAGUACAUGUCAAAGCUAGUGGGAGCAUAAGUGUUAUGCUAAUAAUCAUCAUGUUAGUGGGAGCAUGAUAAUUAUGAUAAGUAUUGCAAGUUAGCAAUGUUAAUUAUAGAAAACAAAAGUUUCAAUUGGGAAAAAGUUGUUUUGCUAUAAUUAAGGGAGAGGAAAUUAUGCUUCAUCUCAAAUCUAUAAGCUUAGAUCGUGAGGUUUUAAUCAUUUAGUCAAGGAUAUAUAUGAAUUUCAUGUUGGAAUGGCUCAACAUAAGGAAAUUCUGUAUAUGGGUCCAUUAUUUGCGUUCUAAAAUUCGAUUAUGAUUACGGCAUCCCUUUUCAUAAUCUGAAUUAUGAGAACUUGGCAAAUUGAAAUGGAAAUAUUAUAGCAAAAGACUGGUUUAGUCUUUAUGUAAGACAUCAUGAAUCGUGUCCCAUAUGCUUCGGAUAUAGGAUCGAUUACAUGUGCUAUAUUCAUCCGUUCUAAAAUUUUCCAAAUGCCUGGGGCAUUAAGAAGGGAAAAGGUUUAGAACUGGAUAUGACUAAAAGGAUUAAACAAUUGUCGAGGACAAUCUAAGGUUUACCAAAGAUUGGUUACUCAAGGACAAUUGGAAGUAUAGUGAUAAUUCUGGAAGGACCAUAUUGACAUAAUCUGUAAGGAGGCAACUCUUGUUCAGAAGUGAUAGUCAAAAUGGAAUCUGGAAAUGUUUCAAAGUUAGAAUUUUCAAUCUGUGUAAGAUUAAGGAAACUUAAUGCAAGAAGGAUAUUUCCAAGGAGUUGAUCUCCUUUGGAAUACUCUGUAAUGAUUGUUGCCAAGUCUUUGUGACUUUGUGCAUAAUCAUUACAAGAGGAUCAAUGCAUAUAAGUUUAGAAUCUAACAGAUUUCAGUAAAUGGCAUGAAUUUGGAAUUCUUGCAUUUGCAGUAAGGAUUUGGGAGUGUGAAAAGAGAAUCAUUGAAGUUAUGUUCAAUUGAUCUAGUUCACAAAGUAAAGAUCAUAGACAAACAUAGUAUGCAUACUUGGUGUGUGGCAUGACUAGUGUUUAAGAAAACAUAGUGUACAUGCUUGGAGCAUGGGACAACUAUUGUUUUAAAUUCAAGAAUAAAGUUGAUAGCUGAAACAGUAUACAAUGAAUAAUGUGUAAUCAUAUGGUGAUAAAUAAAAGGUGUUUUAUUUAUGUUCAAAGGGUUGAUACCAUAUUGGAUUCAAUUAUUAUUGUGUUUCAUUUUGCAUGUUUUGACUUCCCGAAUAAACUGGGUUAUUCUUCCGGAAUGACUAAGUUAUUCAAACCAUCCACAGUCGGUCAUAUGUUGGAAGUAGAUAUGAAUUAAGACUGUCAUGGGUUGGCUUGUAGAGGUCUAAGGUGUUGGACAAAGGGCUACAACACUCAUGAGUGCUCAUAAGUUCUGAGUAUUGGAUUCAACCCGCGCUCAUUGGAAUCACUUCAUGGAUUUUAUCACGAGUGAUCAUGAGACGAUAAUAUCUUAUAUUCUUCAAACCUAGAGAUAUGAGUUGUUACUAUGAGUUGAUAGUACAUUGAUUGCACGAAAACGCAUUUGGUAACUCGGUGCUAUAAAACGUGCCUUUGUGUAUGAUUCAACAAGUAGUAGAACAAGCCAUAUGAGUCGAAGUUUAUCCAUUCCUUUUACCUUCGGGAUAAAAGCGAUAUCUGUGGGCCCCUCGAUGAUUUGAUGAUGACAAAUGGAAGUGCUCGGCCGGGCCAGGACUGAUUUGAUUUGUUCAAUUAGUCAGUCGUCAUAAAUCGGAAAUCGGGAAACAACAAAUGGACAGAGAGAAUGAUUAUAAUCCAUGUCUCAGUCCAUAUGAUAUCUAGAAUGGAGGAAUAUAUGAUCCCUUAUCUAAUGGACAAGUCACUGACAAAGGUCAGAGUUCAUCUACAAGGUCAGAGUUCGACAGAAGCUUUUGAGAGCUACGAUUGCCAGUUGGUUCCUGAAGUCAUACGCAAUAAUAGUUUUAGACUUAUCCAAGUGGGAGACUGUUGGAUUAAUGUCUAAGUCCAUAACUAUAAUUGGUAAGACUUGACCCGACCCGGCAUGGUCCAUUUGGGUUGCAUACCAUCAUGCACUUGGAUAGACUAUAAUGAGAGAAAUAAGACACUUAUGGUUAUUAAUAUAUUAUAAGUUCUAGUAUAUUAAUAAUAAGAAUAAUAAGAUUAUUUAAUUAGUAUUGAUCAAGAAUUAAUCUAGGAUUAAUUAAGUGAUCAAAAGAAGACUAAUUAAAUAUAUGGGUUGAUUGUGUAAAUCAUCCAUACUUGUAUAGUGGGCUAAUGCUUCAUGGAUUAUCUAGUUGGGCCAAAACCCAUAUGAUGCGCCAUGGAUGCUCCAUGGUGUAUUUGAACCCAUGGAUCCAAGGAAAUGGAAAGUCAUGAGAAUUAAGGGUUUGCCCUAAUUGUAACACUAUAUAUAGAUAUUAUUCUUGGCAAAAUCGGAGCUAGUGUUAUUCUAGAGAGGGCUAGCCGAUUUCAUGAGUUGUAGAAUUCUCUCAAGCUAUUCUAAGUGUUUUGGUGAUUGUGAUUCCAUUUGAGGUGUCACACUUGGGGCGCUAGGCACUCAAGCUUCAUGAAGACUUUCUACACCAAAGAGGUAUGUAUUCUAUCAUGCUAUAGUGAUUGUUUUGUAUGCUAGAUUAGGAUAAUACCUUAGAAGUUCUUAUUUGCAUGUAUAAUAGAGAAAACAUAGAUCCAAGGUAUUUAGGGUUGCAUGUACACUUAGGAGUGUUAGAAUGCUCAUAACCUAUCAAUUCGAAGGGUGAAUAUCAUGGUGAUAGCUUGAGUGGGCGCACAAGGAUUUCUUGUUCGGUAAGGUUCGAAAGGGUUAUUUUAGCGGCAGAGGAGCCGGUUAUGUUCCAAAUUUGGAGUACCUAGGCGGAUUCAGGUAUGCAGGGAGAAAGAUAACGUUUGAUGGGAUAGCCUCUCAGUGGAGCUUUAUGAGUGUUUGAUUUCUAUCUAUGUGGUUUACGAGCGAUUUUGAGGACGAAAUCUAUUUUAGGUGGGGGAGAAAUGUAACAUCCAGAUUUCCAGGCAUGUUAAUUUGAUUAGUUCUUUUGAAGUCAUGAGGAGGGACUUGACGAGUCGAUGCCUAGACUCGUCGAGUAGGAUCGCGAUUGGUUGACUGGAUUAAUGAAGGGACUCGACGAGUCGAUGGGUGGACUCGACGAGUCCGACUGUUAUGUGAAACCCUAAAUCUCAGGGCCUGAGCCCUAUUUAAGGGCCCUUAUGGCUGUUAUUUGCGGCCACUUCACCUCUGAGAAACCCUAGAGGGCAGAGACAUCGUUUGUGGAGCAAGAGUAAGGCUAAUUCAUCAUUUCUUGAGUGUUUUUAGCGAUAGAGAAGGAAGGAGGGCAUACUAGGAGGAUUGAGGAGCUUAGAUCUACUAUCUUUUGGUCAGAUGGAUCUGAUAGAGGUAUCAAUCUGUGUUUAAUCUCGUGUAAUUGUUAAUUACCUUGAACCUAGGGUUUUCCCAACCCCGUUUAUUUUCUUGUGAUGAUAUAUAAGUUGUCCCUUUGGGUGUUAGACUCUAGAUUUGGAUCUUUAGAGGUCCAGAGAGUAUUAUCAAUCAUGCUUUAUGUUAUUUCAUGGAGGAAAUGAACCUAGAAUGCCAUUUUAUAAACUAUUUCUUCAAAUAGAGUCAUGUGGACAUUGCAUGAGUGUCAAUGUUCGGACUUUACGUGGUUAUUGAGCUUAGGAAGGACAUAUCUAUGGAUUAGAGGAACAAAUCUAACCUCAGAAGGUCAUUUUGUCUGAGUAUGGAAUGGACUCGCCGAGUCCAUAAGUAGACUCGACGAUUCGGAUCGGGUUGAUCUGUGACUCAUGUUAGUUGGUGACCAGCCGAGUUGGGUGAGUGACUCGGUGAGUUAGAUCGGAUUUAAGGAAUUGGAGUUCACGUCUUAACUCGCUGAGUCGGUGCAUGACUCGACGAGUUGGGUCAAGAGUUGACCGUUGGCUAGCGUUGACCAGAGUUGACUUAUGUUGAUUUAAGGGUAUUAGUCAAACUAAGUCAGGGAAGUAAUAACUAGAGAUGUACUUAUGUUAUAGGACGAAGCGAGGUCGGAAGAUUGAGCACGAGUGCUUAUCCGACAUCUUCGAGGUGAGUCUUCUCACUAUGCCUUAACCGAUGGGGUAAUUAUGUGUGACCGAAAGGUCUUAUGUGUAUGAUGAAUAUGUGAUGCAUGUUGUAUAUGUGAUAUGUUAUGAUAUGAUUAUGAUGAUGUGGACCGGAAGGUCAGGUUGAUAUGGACCGGAAGGUCAACAGAGUAUGGACCGGAAGGUGAAUAGAGUUAUGGGAUGGAAAUCCCUUGAGACACUUGGAUCGGAAGAUCCUAUAGAGUUAUGGCCUAGAAAGGCGUAUGUGCUGUAUGUGGUAUUUUGGGGAACUCACUAAGCAUUUAUGCUUACAAUGUUUGUGUAUGUGUUUCAGGUACCAAUGACGAUCGCGGGAAGGUGCCGAUAUGAUUCGUACACACUUAUGAAGUUUAUGUUAUGAGAUAUUGGGAAAUGUUUUGAUGUAAUAACAGUGGACACCUCAUGUUUUGUAUUACUUAUUGAUAAAAAGUAUGUUUUAAAAAUGAAAAAUUGUUUUGAAAUUUCACGGUGUUACACAUGUCCCAUGACUUAGGAGGAGCAUUUAGUAGCUUUUUGUUUAUUUCUGACUUUGCAAGAAGAUUCCAGAAAUGUUCAUCUCAGUAGUAAGAGUGGUGAAUCGUUGCAGCUGUGCCUCCAGGGUUUCUUCGGGAAUAUAGUUAAACAUAUUAAAUUUUUGACGCAGCAUAUCCUGGCGGAUUUCCUUCAUAUCUUCAUUUCCUUCAUACACCUGAAUCAGGGCUUCCCAUAAAGCUUUAGCUGAUUUUAUACUCUCUGAAACCUUGAGCAAUAUAAGGAGAUAACGCCAUUGUCAGAGUAGCCAAGGCUCUUUCCUGCUCUUCAACCUUUUCAAAAUCUUCAUCUGUAUAAUUUUCAACUGCUUUUUCAACCACUAGUCCAACAACGGUGGUGGUAAUUCUGAUAGGAUCCUUGACUAUGUUUCACUAGACUUUGAAGUCUUUCAUUUUGAUAUACAUAUCAAUGCGGUAUUUCCAUUCAGGAAAACCAUCUGCAGACAUAAGUCUCGGAAUGCAAGUAGUAGUGCCCAUGAUGGAAUCCAACUCAUGAUGGUGUGUUUGGCUUUGAGAAUCCAUUUUCUUUAUUAUUUUAAAUCAAAGAUUAAAAUAAAAAAAUAGAAAAUUUAGACUUGAGUUUCCAGUCAAUGAGUUUGCGGCCAUGAACAUAGUUUACGGUCGGUCAGUGUUUACGGUCUUUGCAACUUAGUUUAUUGUUAUUGAAGAUGCUUUGUUUACGGUCCAAGAACAAUGUUUACGGUCCAAGAAUGUUCUUAAAUUUACGGCCGUAAACAGGGUUUACGGUCGUAAUCUCCUGGCAGUAAACUCGCAACAGUUCACGAAAACACGAUUUUGGAGUAGAUUCGAUCCCAUUUAGCAGUAACAACUCCAAUUCCAAUCUCGAACAGUGAGGAAUACGGCCGAAAAUCUCGAUUACAAGAUGAUUUGACAUUGGCUUUGCUCUGAUACCAACUGUAGGGUCCUAAAACGGAUCUUUACCAAUGAUCAAGCAAUCACACAAUCACAGAAACAUGAAUAUGAGUAGAAGAAGAAUUCAAACAAGCUUGCACACGUUUAUUACUUGAAAACGUCGGGUACAACUUGUUUACACUUGGCCGUGAACUGUCUAGCAUCAACAACCAAUAAAGACCUACACAACCCCUAUUUAUAAUAGACAAUGACCGCAAACUGUGACAUCCCCAAUUUCACGGCCAGAAAAGACCGAUUUUAUUUAUGCUUUGUUUAAAAAUCUUUAGUAACAUUUUAAAUAAAACUGUUGCGGAAUUUGUCCCAAAACAAAAUAUGAUAAAGAUUAAUCAAAAUCAUUUCCAUAGAAAUGUAUUUCAUUAAAAAGACUCGGGAGGUCAUGUUCGAUACAGAUCAUAAGCAUAAACAAUACAACAUAGGCCUUACUACAUUAUUCCGUAUUUACAGGCCUAAAAUCCCUUAAUCUCUCAUCCCAAGACAUCACAUCUAUGCUCAUGCGCCACUACCUGUAAUACAAGAAACUAAGUGGGUCAGGCUGGGGAGCCUGGUGAGCACAUAGGGUUUUCAACCCACAAUAAAUAAGUUUAUUAACUUUAUCAAAUCAAACAAACCUGAUUACCCGUUCCCGUUAUCCUCACUUUACGUCCCUAAGACAUCUAACACAAGGGACCUAGUCUAAGGACUAUCAUCGGGAUGGACACUACCGCUAAGGGGAUUCCUCAGCAAUAAAUGUCCUUAAGGCAACCAUGUGGGGGAUGGAGUACACCUGGUGAGCACACAGUUCAAAUAACCACAUAGUUCAAAUAAACACCUACAGGUUGCGAGCAUGCUAGUGUUCCACUGGACUGUCUAGAAUAGUCCGUGGUCGUCAUCUAUACUCCGCUAGACGACUGGAUCAUCAAUAACAUCUAUAACGAGGCCAAUCAUUAUUUCAUUUUAUCACACAACAAUUAACACAUCUACCCAUGUUUUACCCCAAUAUUUUCGUAGAUAUAAAAUACAUAUAUAGUUUAAAUCAUUGAAAACAUGUAUAAAAAUGUUCAUCCAGCAUAGAUAACAAGUAUUCAGAUAAUAUGCACACAUAGCACGUAAUUUAUAUAAAAUACUUUAUAUCUAUGUGUAAGCUGAAAGUAACUAUGCACUCACUUGAAAGGUGGUGACUCAACACUCGGACAACGCUUCGAUACUCUCAAAACAAUUUUCCUUCAAUAAAACCUAGUAUCAAUACCACUAGGGUUUAGUCUAACGUCAACCGCGACUAAUUAGUAGUCUAGCUAUUAUUAUUAUUAUUAUUAUUAUUAUUAUUAUUAUUAUUAUUAUUAUUAUUAUUAUUAUUAUAUAAGCGUUAAAAAACACUAUAUAACUCAUAAUAAUAUCCCAAAUAAUUAUUUUAAGGUCCUAAUAAUGUUACUAUAGUAAAACAUAAGCUAUACUAAAGAUCGGUUAGGUACAGCUCACUUACAGUAGGUUUCCUUGGAAACCGGGCUCCGCUGGAGCAGAGUUUCUAAGCCGAAAGGCUCUUUUCUCAAGGCUUCGGGAGCCUUGGGGCUUCCUUCGGGUGCUAAGGGGUUUACCUAGACCUUAGGUGGACUAGGAUAGGCUAGAGAGAGAGUGUAGAGAGAGAAAGAAGUGGGGAAAGGUGUGAGAAAUGAGAGAACCCGACACUUCUAUUUAUAGGGAGAAAUCCUAACGGACUCACCGAGAAGGAGGACCUACUCGCCGGGUGGGGGCAGGUGGCAGCCUUCUGGUGGUGCCACGUGUCCAAUUCUGGUAGUGCCACAUCACCCUCUAUCGCGUAUCAGCCUUCAAACUUAGAAAAAUCAUAACUCUCGCAUACGAGCUCCAUUUUCGACGUUCUUUUUUUCCACACGUAGGUAAAAUCAAGAUCUACAACUUUCGUUUAGACUCUGUCGGCUAAUUCUCGACCGAUGUCAAUUUUAACAGUAGGAGGCGUUUAGACUGUUAAAUGACCGCGAAGAAUUCGUAACUCCUUCAUACGAACUCCGUUUUCGUCUAUCUUUUUAACGUUGAGUUCCUAUUAAUGAGAUCUUCAACUCUCAUUUAGGUCGCGUAAGCCAAAAACCGCUCGAACUAAAAUUCGAGUUUCGGGUUGUGUACUGAUAAGCCGAAUCUUAGAAAAAUUAUAACUUCUUCAUACGAAAUCAGAUUUGGGCGUUCUUUUUAUGGAUUUUUUCGGUUUAACAUAUUGUACGACUUUCGUUUAGAUCACUAAGGCUAAAAAGUCUUCCAUCAUAAAUUCACUAUUUACGUCUCCCGGUGUCGUGCCGGUUUUGCCGUAAUACUUCGGCGGGCCAUAACUUUUUCGUUAUAACUCGGAUUUUGACGUUCUUUAUAUCCCCGAAAUCCUUGUUUCGACCACUACAACUUUAUGUAAAGAUAUCGGAAUUAUCUCACACUUUAAUUUUGACGCUUAUUUUUAUUCUUUAUUAAAUAUAUAUUUAUAAUAAAGUAAUAAGCACACAAAUACACAUAAUUCACAUAGAAUUAAAAUAUUUCAUCUUUAUUACAUCAAAAAGAGUUACAAUAGUUGACCUAGACUAUUACAUCGUCUAAAAAUGCUUAGCCCCGAAAGCCGGGCGUUACACAAACAGAACCUGGGCCGGAAACUGGGUUUACGGCCGUAAACUCUCCAUUGAUCGUGAACCCAACUUUGACCUACAAUUAUACCAAAAAUGCUCAAAAGAACUAUUACAAAUUGAAAGCCUAGACCAAACCAUUAAUUGAGACCUUCAACAACAUUUUGGACCAAAAGGACUUUUUGUCUUUUACCAAAAGGUUAAGGUUUAUAUUUUUAGAAAAAGAGUUUAUAAAAUUUACCAAGUUUGACUUCCUUUUAAUAAUCAAAAAACGUGAGCAUUCUUGGAAGCAUGCUAGUGAUGGGUUUUUGAGUUGUUUAAUCAAAAUUACUAAGCAUAAGAAGCAUGUAUGGACACACUCAUAACAAUAAGGAAAAGUUUGUCUAAAGUAGAAGUAACUAAUGUUUAUAACUUCACUUUAUGCAUAUAAAUAAGAGGGCUUGCAUUUGGCAAGGGGGCUUAUUCCUUCCUUGAGGCAUAUGACCGAAACCUCUUAUAUCCCUCUCUUUCUCUCUACUUUUGGUUAGAAAAUUUGAAGAACACUUGCAUCUACAUGCCUUCUUUUAGUUCGUAUUGGUUAUGAACUUUAAGCUUAAGGGUUUAAAAGGUUCGGACUAGCAUCUACAUCAAGUUGAGUCGUUGUUGGUGUCUCAAAGUUUCCACAUUCUUCAUUAACUUCCAACCCUACUAAGAGGACCCAAAGAACUACAAAGGUUGUUAUUUCUUUACCUCCUCUUUGGUUGGUGUUUUAAACCUUCUAUAACUCGUAAGAAGAUCCUUGGUGGGUAUAAAAUGUUUAUGUUAUUUCAAAAAAGUUAAAGUCUUCCGUUGCCAUCUUUUUCUAGUUUAUGAAACUGUUGUUGAACUAAAACCUCAACAACUAAUAGUUGGAUUUUACAAAAUAUUUUAGUUACUUUUAUCAUUAUACUUUUAAUGAGGUUAUGUCCUAUCAAACCAGUCCGGCUAAUGACCCUCCACCAAUCAUGGAAGCAUUGGGUGAGAGUGGACACCCAUUCAACUACCAUUUUAUAGGAAGUUUCCUUAUACCCCAUUAUAGAUUGGCUUCGUGAAUAAGGCGUACUAGCGGUUCGACUGACUUAGUCUUAUACAUAUAGUAUAUAUUAAAGUUUUAAUUAUAUACAUAGUAUAAGGUGUAUUUUAAACAUUUCAAAAUACUAAGGGUUUAAUCUUUUAGUAAAUUAAACCUUUAAUUUAAUUAAAUUUAAACAUUUUAUGGAUUUAUUAAUUAUCGUGUCACUAACCACUUAAUUAAAUUAAUAAUAAGAUCCAUAAGGAUGUAUUUUAAAAUUUUCAAAAUAAUAGGGUUUUUAAAUCAUAAAUUUUGAAAUUAAAGAAAAUUUAAUUUGAAUUUAAAAAUCUAAAAACAAAUGAUUUAAUAAUUAUGUAUUACUUAAACCUUUAAUUAAUUUAUUAAACCAAUUGAGGAUUAUCCAAGAUAAUUUAAUCUAAUCCUCUCCCUACUAAAUUUCAAAAAUCAUGGGAGGGAUAAACAAAAUUUAUAAUUAUCUAGUUAAUCAAAUAACGAGAUUAUUACCUAAAUAAUAAAAUCCCUAACAUAUCUAGCGAUUUUCGAAAAUGGCAUAUUUUGGGGAGGAAGGCAAUGAUUUCAAUCCUUGCCAUAUUUUGAAAUCCUUGAGGGUUAAGGAACUAUUAAUUCGAAAUUUGAGGGACAAGGGAAUGGGUUUAAAAUCUUUUCCAAAAAAUUUCGAAAUCUAGGGUUCAAGAACGAAAGAAUUGAAAAUCCUAAGUUAAAAGGGUUUAGUUGCCAUAAACCGUAAUUGAUCAAAUUCAAAAAUUUGCAAGCAAAUUAAAUAGAAAACAAGUCAAGGCUCUGAUACCACUGAUGGGUUUUGAGCAUUACAAAUAAAAACCUAUGUGUGCAUGCAACCCUAAUUUAUUGAUCUAUAUUUUCUCGAAUUUAACAUACAAUAUUUGAACAUCAAUGGGAAACCCUACGACGUAUAAUCUAUUUUCGAAAUUCACAUAACAAGGGUUAGAAUACAUGCCUUAAUUAUUAUAUUGCAACAACAAUGCAUUCCUAGUCUUCUUGAACUUUAAGAGCAAGCGUCACAAGUGUCACACCUCUAAUGGUUCACACCCAAACUGAGCAAGAGGAUGAGAGAGGGGAGACAAAAGACGUGUUAUGAAUUUCAGCUAUUCCUAUAAGGAAUCAAGUGGCCAAAAUUGUGAAGGGGUUAGGCUCCUUAUAUAGUAAGGUAGCAUAGAGCCAGAGGUAGGUUUUUAAGAGGAACCCCUAAUUCCUUAGCUUUAGGACCAAGCAGCCCAUAAACUCCCAUACAUGAGCCAUUGGACGAAAAUUCUAGGGCCUUCCUAUUGAUUUUUGUCCAACCUCUUCUAGGGAGGUUCUAGAGCCCAAUUCCUCAACUAUCAUUAAAUUGCCAAACAACCCCUGCACUUUUAAUUAAUACAAUUAAUCCCAAAAUUAGUUCCAAUUAAUUUCUGAUUAACUAUUAAUUAAAUAAUAUGAUUUAUAAUUAAUAUAUAAUUUUCUUAAUACAUUAAUAAAUCAUUUAUUUCAAUUUAUUAAUCAAAUAAUAAUUCAACCUCUCUCUCUAAAAGUAAUCAUGUCUAGUUGCUAGUAUUGAGGGCAACCUAAAAGGACUGUGCUACUAUCAAUUCAAGUAUAUACCAAUUAUAGUUAUGGGCAUAGACACAAAAUCCAACAGUCUCCCACUUAGAUAAGUCUAAUUACUAUAGAUACCAGUAUAACUUCAAGAACUGACUAGCAAAUUGUAGCUGCCAAUGUCGUUGUCGAACUCUGACCCGGUCAGUUACAUGUCCUAAGAUAAGUGAUCAAAUAUUCCUAUGUUCUACAAGACAUGGUAUGGACAUGAGAUAUAUAUUAUAAUCAAUCUCAUUUUCUAUGUUUUGGUUUCCCGAUUUUCAAUUUAUGAUGGCUAUUUUGGACUACCAAUUGAACACAUCAAUUCAGUCAAGGCUUGGUCAAGGGCUUUAGAUGCCGACAUCAAAUCAUUUAGGGGCCCACAUAUAUCUCUUUUCCCGUUAGGGCAAAAGGAACGGAUAAAAGUUCACUGAAAUGUUUGCACUUUUUACUCAUCAAAUCACACACAAUAAUACGUUUUAUAUGCCUUGCCCACGUAAAUAACAAUUCCCGCCCACAUACAUAACAGAACCCUCCUACAUAAUAGUCCCUGCCUGUCGUACACAAUAGGUCAAUGUCAAGGGCAACAUACUGGUCUUCCAUAUAAUUUAUAAAAUCGUAUGUAGUCAUAGAUAAUAUAAACAGUCGAACAGGUGGUCCACCCAAAAGCAGUAAAUCAGAGAAGAACCAUGAAAUCAAGCUUUAGACCAAGAGUUCUCAGGCUAUCCAACUUAACAACCUACAACCAUAACAAGCAUUUACUUAAUCAACCAUGACACUGUCCAAAAUCAUAUAGUCCACCAACAAGACCCUUUUAGUCUAGCAUACCAUGACACUAAAUGUAACAUCUCCAAUUUGCCGGAUAGAAAAGACCAAUUUGUUUAAGCUUAUUUAAAAACCAGAGUAUGCUUUUGAAGAAUAAUAUUGUGUAAUUUGUUUCUAGAAAACAUGAUAAUGAUAUUAUCAAAGCAUGUUCGAAGAAAAGUAUUUUUAUUUAUAUUAAGACAUUGGGAUGUCAUCUUUAAUACAAAAACAUAAGUAUAACAAAAUAUUACAAGCCUUACAAUAAUUAAACUAAUGGACUAAUACUAUUUAAUCAGUAGUAGAAUGUAUCUUUAAUAUCGCUACCUGAGAUUCAUAAAAAAAUGGGUCAGGUUGGGAAACCUAGUGAAUAAAUAGGGUUUUCAACCGACAAUAAUAUAAUUAAUAUGUUUAAUCAUCAAACAAUUAGCCCNNNNNNNNUACAUUAUUCUUAAGGAUCUACCCUAAGGAUAAUGUAUGCUGAUAGUACUAGUUCAGGGAUUACUCCAUAAUACUUGUCAGUAGGUAUGCUUCAAUAUUCCUUCCUAAGGAUUUUUCCUAGAGAAUAGGCAAAAAGUCCAUCACUACGAGGGUUUAUCCAAUAGGCACUAAGUCCAUAGUUGUUGAUGUUAUCUAUUAGGCACAAUUGCCAAUGUUAUCUAUUAGAGACUAAGUCCAUAACUGCCAAUGUUCAUUUAUAAGGCACUAAGUCCACAGCUGCUGAACAUGUAGUUCAAAAAAGCACGUAUAGGUUGCAAGUCUGGCAGCGCUCCACUGGACUGUCUAGAAUACUACGUGUUUUUCAUCUAUACUCUGUUAGUUGACGACAUCUUUAAAGUCAAGGCCUCUUAUCAUGUAUUUCAUCUUUCAUCUCUCAUGAUCUAUAUCAUCAUUCAUCUCUCAUCAUAUAUAUCAUCUUUCAUCUACCAAUCUUUACCUAAUAUAUUUAUCGGUAUAAAAAUACAUAUAAAGUUUAAAUGAAGUAAUAAUAUGUACAAAUCGUUCAUCUAGCAUAGAUAUCAGGAAUACAGAUAAUAGACACAUAUAACAUGUAUUUAUACUAAACACUUCAUAUCUAUGUGUAAGAUUAAAGUGACUAUGCAAUCACUUGUUAAAGUGACGAUUCGAAAUUUGGACAACGCUUCGUUUCUAGCAAUUGUCUUUUCUUUUGACAUAACCUAGUAUCAUUAUCACAAAUUCUUAGUCUAAUAUUUCUUGCGAUUAAUUAUUAUUCUAGAUUCAUCAUUAAUUCAAAGUCUACUUCAAGAUCUAACAAGUAAGGAACAACCAGGUAGGAUCAUAUCGACGGUAGGGUCCGUAUGGUAUACAAAGUAAACUGUUUCAAAAUCGCUCAUUAAACACCUCACUAAAUCCAACAUAGACAUCAUCCUCGUAAGUAGAUCAAUCAUUAUAACGACUUGGAAUCAACCAUAAAUCUAGUUUAUAGGUUCAUAAUAACGAUAAUGAACUUAAACAUAAUUUAUACUUAAAGUACGAUUUGCAUAACUUAACUUACAGGUUGGUUAGCAAGAAACCGAACACUACAUGGGCAGACUUGUAAACCGAAUGCUCUACUUCUUGGAGAUUUAUGACGUUCCAGAUCUUCACUACUAACACCUAAGAAGUGCUAGAGAAUAGGCCUAGGGACCUUGGGGGUGGGGGGUUUGGGAGAGAAUGGAGUUGAAAUUCUACUCUAAUACUACUAGAAUCUCUUAGCAGAAUGUAUCUUUAAUAUCGCUACCUGUGAUACAAUAAACUGAGUGGGUCAGGUUGGGAAACCUGGUGAGUACAUAGGAUUUUCAAACCACAAUAAUAUAAUUAAUAUGCUUAAUCAUCAAACAAUUAACCCAAUUUCCUAUCCCCAUUAUUUUCUUUAUUUAUAAGCAUCUACACUAAGGAUAAUCUAUGCUGACAAUACUAGUUCAGGGAUUCCUCCAUAAUACUUGUUAGUAGGUAUUCUUCAAUAUUAAUUACUAGGAUUUUUUCCUAUGGUAUAGGCACAAAGUCCAUCUCUGCCAGGGUUUAUCUAACAGACAAGAAGUCCAUAGCUGCCGAUGUUAUCUACUAGGUACAACUAUUGUAAUGACUGUAGAUUCGGAUUAGUCAAUUUAGAAAUAAUGAGCGUUAAAAUGACUUUUUGAUAGAAGGUUAUUUAGUGCAAAUAAUCUUAACCAAAGUUAUAGUAUAUGUCAUAAGGAUUCCUUGCAUAUAAAGAAUGUUGAAAUCUGACUUAUAACGAAGAAGUUAUGAUCCGUCAAAGCUUCACGAUUAAAAUGGCACGACUCCACGUAUCGUAAAAAGUAAUUUUUUGACGAAAUACUUUUUAGCCUUUGCCAUCUAAAUGAGAGUCAUAGUAGACGUUAAACCGACAGAAUGCAUAUAGAGAACAUCCAAAUCUCAGUUCAUUAGAGGAGGUUAUGACUUUUCUAAGAUUUAGCGUAGCAGUAUAUAGUUUGGAAAUCGAAUUUUAGAUCGAUUGAUUUUUAGCCAACACAAUCUAAACGAGAAUUGGAGAUCAUUUUAAUAGGAUCUCAACGAUAUAAAGUCAGUCAAAAACAGACUUCGGAUGACAAAGUUAUGAAUUUUUAACAGACUUUAACUAUUUAAGCAUGUUAAACUAUAACUUUAAAAAUAAAUUCAAAUUUAGCUGAAGGAUUCGAAACAAAAGUUGUAGAUCACAUCGAUAACUAAGUGUGGAUAUAAAGAGUGUCAAAAAUGGAGCUCAUAUGCGAAAGUUACAGAUUUUAGAAGAUAAUAAAUUUUCGGAUUAACCUCAAAGUAACACUUGGCAAAAUCUAGGUAUCAGCUUCUUCCCCACGGCUUCACACCAGAUUGCGACAUGUGGCACAUUAAGCCCAAUGUAAUUUUGAGUAAGCCUAGCAUAACCCAUAAAAACCCAUUACACCUAGCAUCAUUUUUAGUACGCCCCGCAUACUUGGGCACUGGUAGCCUAUAAAUAGAGCUCGAAAAUCACUAUUUUCCUCGCAUCUUUCUAUCCAACUCUCUCCCUAACACUCCAAAGCCCUUAUGCCUUCUCCUAGCACCUCCUAGGUGUUAGAAGAAAAUCCCCGAAGUGUUGGAAAGCCCUGAGAAGUAGAGCUUUUGGCUUAGAGGUUCUGCCCGCGCAGAGUCCGGUUUCUCGCCAAACCACCUGUAAGUUAAGUUAUGUUUACCGUACUUUAAAUAUAACUUACGUUUAAGUUCAUUAUGAUUAUUAUGAACUUAUAAAAUGAUUUAUCAGUGACUCCAAGUCGUUAUACCGAUUGAUCUACUUACGGAGAUGAUGUCUAGGCUAGAUUUAGUGAGGUGUUCAAAGUUGGAUUUCCAAAUAGUAUACUUCGUACACCAAAUAGACCCUACCUCUGAUAUGAUCCUACAUGGUUGUUCCUUAUUUGAUAGAUCUUGAAGUAUGCUUUGAUUUAAUUUUGAAUCUAGAAUAAUAAUUAGUUGCAAUAAAUAUUAGACUAAAAUUUAGUGAUAAUGAUACUAGGUUUCGUCAACGCAAAAGACAAUUGCUAGAAACGAAGCAUUGCCUGAAUUUCAAGUCAUCACUUUAACAAGUAUUAAUAAAAGUAUUAAGUAUAUGUUGAAAGUUCAUAUGUGAGUUAGAUGCUUAUUAUCGGGAAAUAUGUGUUAUAUGUAUAUUUGAUGAUAUACGCUAUGAGAACCAGACAUGGUUCUAUAUGUGUUAAGAUGUAUUUACAUGAUAAUAAUAAUAAUAGAAGUAUUAUAAAUGAGAAUAUAAAUGUAUGUGAGUUAUAUGCUUAUUAUAUGGAAAUAUGUGUUAUAUGUAUAUUUGAUGAUAUAAGCAUUGUAGGUUUGCCUAGUAUUGAAAUAAGACUUAAAAGAGAGGAUUAGUUAAAUUAAGUUUAGAUAUUAGGUUGCAUCUUAUUAUGGGUAUGUGUGUGAUCGGAAUAGAGAGUAGAAACUCUAUCCAAGGAGGUUGAUGAUCGAUGGAGUAUGUCCUACGUAUAAAGUUCUUUCUGUCUACCAAGACUUUUUCAAAUCUUUAUAUCUCAGGUGCUGCUUGUGCCAAGGUAUUAUUAUGUUUUGGGGCACGAUUCCUACUCAUACCAUGGUACUAUAAUGUGCCAGAAAUACAAUGAUGUACCAAGUCCUUUUUGACACUACUAUGUAUCGGAGUACGAGAGUGUACGAUAGUACUUUAUUGGUAUUUCCCCAUCCUUUUUCUUUUGAUGAACUUUAUGGGUCAGUGUUUCUACUCACGUAGUAAUGGAGGGAUAUUCGUAGACUGCCUAAUAUAGUGUGUCAGUAAUAGACCACUGGUAGGUAGGUCUGAUGUUAUAUUCUCAGAUAGGAUGAAUUUGGGGGUAAAAUACCUCACGAUGUCAGACCACUACUAGGCAGCAUUAUCUAGAUAACCACCACUUAGUUGUCUUAUGGUUUCACGAACGGAGGUUCGUGGUGAAACUUAUUCCAUUUCCCUCAUUUGACAUAUUUAUUGAUCCUUGUUUGAUUCUAGGGAAUUUCCGAACAGCGUCGUCAGUUUGUUGUUCGUAUUGAUACUUUAGGCUAGAUCCUGUAAAAUCAUUGUAUAGGAUCAGUACAUGGGAAUCCAUUGGAUGAGUUAAAUUGUUUUAGAGAUAUGAUAUAUCUGUAUUAAUGAUAAUAGUUGGUUUUAUAGGUUUGAGAUAUACAUUAUUAUAACAUUGUGGGAUUGAAAUCCCUAUGUAAUCACCAGGUUUCCCAACCUAACCCACUCAGUUUAUUGUAUAACAUGUAGCCAGUUUAUUGUAUAACAUGUAGCGAUAUUAAAGAUACGGUCUGCUGAGAGAUUCAGGGAGUUUUAGUGUAACAUCCUAAUUUUCAAGACCAAAAAUUUCAUUUUUGAUAAAAUGAUUUACAAAACAAUUAUAAGAAAACAUCAUCAAGUCACCUCCUUUCAAAAAACCAUGACUACAUGUAUCAAAAUCGUAUCAUAAAAAGAGUAACAAUGUCAGAGUACAAUCCCAAGAAUCUGAUAAUGCGUGAUUCGGUACUACCAUGCCAAUUCCUUCCCUUUCGAUGUAGAGGUACCUAAAAACAAAAUUGAAAACUGUAAGCACGAAGCUUAGUGAGUUCCCCACAUACCAUAUACCAUACAUAACACAUAUUGACAAGCAUAUCUGGGUGCCCAACCUAACCUACUUAGCAUACCGCGGUGCUCAACCUACCCCUGCUAUGUAUACCAGGGUGCCUAACCUACCCCUGCCGGGCAUACUAAGGUGCCUAACCUACCCCUGUCAAACAUAUCGGGGUGUCCCACCUACCCCUCCGUUUUAUCUCAACCGGUUAUGGGGACUAUUUCACACCUACUACUACAACAUAAAAGCAUAACAUAGUCGUACUAUCAUGCAUACCAGGGUGUCUGACCUACCCCUUGGCCCUAUCGACCGAAUAUAAGGACUAUUCCCCCUACUACCACUAUCACAUAACAUCUUAUCAUACUAGAACAUGGAACAUAACAAAUAGUGACAAACCAAACAAUUAUCAUGAAUACAAUCAUCCAUAACUACUCAUACUUGUGGGCUAAUAUUGUGGCCUUAGACCCACUUCUACUGGAAGGUAAGUUACCUCAAUGUCGUGUAGUAUCUGAACUGUCAUUGGUGUUGGGAUCAACUCCUCUUAAACUCCUGAAAUUCCUACACAUAACAACCUUCCAUAAUUACCAUUUCAUACUCAUAACUCUUUCAGGGGUCACUCGGGUCAAAUUCAAAGUGAAGAUAAACACCCUGGUCAAAUACAACUUUUGGUCAAAGUCAAAAUUUGGUUGACUCAACUCGCCGAGUUAGCCCACCAACUCUUCAAGUUCCAUAAUCCACAAAAUAUUGGAACUUCGAUCAUACUCGUCGAUUCUUUCAAGAACUCGUCACGUUCUCCUUCAUAAAAAAUAAGGACCUUUUGCUUAUGACUCGUCGAGCUCAUCCUUAAACUCAUCGAGUCCUGCUUCAUAUAAGUUGGAAUGUUAUGCCUUGAGUCGACGAGUUCUUCCUUGACUCGUUGAGUUCUUCUUCAUAUAAGUUAGGACAUUGCCUUGAACUCGCCGAGUUCAUCCUUGAACUCGUCGAGUUCUUUGAUCUUCAAGUUCAUAUUCAUGUUCAUCUUGUUGAGUCCUCUUCUAGACUCAACUAGAUUGCUUAGAAAUAGAAAAGGUUGGGGAACCAUGACCUGACUCGCCGAGUCCUAUGAACGACUCAUCGAGUCCCCCAAAGUCCAAGUCUAUCCAGUCGAUUUUAGUCGGGCUUAAUGCAUCCAAAACAUAGAUCUGACCUCCUAGGAUCGAUAUAGCACGUAAAGUUACAAAAUUUACAUGCAUGCAUGGGUUAACUAGUCUAUAAUGUCCUAAAAAGUGUUCCAUAAGAUGUAUGGGACUCCCAUGACGAUAAAGUUGGCACAUUUAUUCUAUGGAGUCCCUCUAAGACUCUUGAUUUGAAGUUCUAACACCUAAACAAGCUUGCAUCCAUGAAUGGUUCCAUAAUGAGCUCCAAAUGUCCCUAAACUACCCCAUGGAGAGAUCUAAAGAAUGAAUGAAAAAUGUCUAAACUUUAUACCUCAAAUGAGCUGGGAAUAUGACAAAAUCUCUGGAUCUAUUUGCUUCCUCUUGAUCUCCCUUGCUUCCUCUUUCUUCUCAAGCUUAAAAAACACACAAAAAGCCCUCAAGAGUGGCUCUAACACUUACAAAAUGCGCUAGGGUUGCAAAUUAGGGUUUUCUGGACUAAGGGAGACGAUGGAGGCUGGGAUGGAGGCCAGUUAAAGUGUUUUCAAAUACGGUGAAAACCCUAAAAUUUAGGGUUUCAUUCAGACAGGUCUACUCGUCGAGUUGGGGUUUCUGACUCGACGAGUAGACUCUUCCACCCGCGUCCAAGAUUCGCAUCUACUCGACGAGUUAGGGCCUUCAAAUCGUCGAGUCCCAGUGUAAAAAUGCAAAAGUUCAUCUUUAAAAUACAUACCGGGAACCGAGCGUUAUAUUUCUUCCCCACUUCUUUUAUACUUCCUCCUCGAAGUCUACUGCUGCAUCUGGAAAAAGCUCUGGGUAGUGAACCCUCAUCUCGUCCUCUGGCUCCCAAGUCCAUUCUAAGCUCUUACGGUGCUGGCACUGCACCUUUACCAGCUUGACCCUCUUGGUCCUUGGAUCCUUUGACUUCCUGUAAAGGAUCGCUACUGGUCGCUCGAUGUAGUUCAGGAUGUCAUCAACCUGAAUAUCCUCUAGAGGCACCAUCAUAGAGUCGUCUACCAGGCACUUCCGCAGCUAGGAAAUGUGAAUGGUACUAUGAAUUUGGCUAAUCUUGGCUAGCAGAUCAAUCCUAUACGCCACCUUGCCAACCCGGGCUGCAACCCUAAAGGGACCGAUGUACCUUUGGCCCAACUUGCCCCACUUCUUUUAUCGGGUGACACCUUUCCAAGGUGACACCUUCAGGAGAAACAUAUCCUCGACCUAGAACUCUAGGUCCGAACGACGUUUGUUGGCAUAACUUUUCUGCCGAUUCUGAGUAGUCUGUAACCUACUCCGAACCUACGGGAUCCGGUUUGUUGUCUUGAGUACCACUACGGUACUCCCCAUGACCCUCUAUGCAACUUCACCAUAGCAUAUCGGGGUUUUGCACUUCCUCCCGUAUAACAUCUUGAAGGGAGGAUGGUCAAUACUCGCAUGAUAGCUAUUAUUGUAGGAAACCUCUGCCAAUGGAAGGUAGGUAUCCCAGUUACCACCAAAGUAUAAAACGCAUGCCCGCAACAUAUCCUCCAAAUUCAGGAUGGUCCACUGACUUUGACCAUCCAUCUGCUGGUGAAAAGCGGUGCUAAAGUGAAAACGAGUACCCAAAUCGUCGUGAAACUUCUUCCAUAAUUUGGAAGUGAACCGCACGUCUUCGUCAGAAAUCGAAGUAGGUCCUUUAUAGCGAAAUACUUCCCAAGCUAGGAUUUCACCUCCUUCAAGGUUGGGAUGUCAAUUCCUAUGAGCAUUAUGUCAUCCACAUACAGUACCAAAAAGAUAACUAUACUCCCACUAGCUCUGAGAUAUACACAGGACUCAUCCUCGCUUCUCGAAAAGCCAAACUCUUUGACUUUCUCAUCGAGACAAAGAUUCUAUCUACGAGAUGCUUGUUUCAAUCCAUACAUGGAUUUCUCAAGCUUACACACUCUAUUAGGGAACUUUGCAUUGAAAAAAACCCUCUGGCUGACUCAUGUAAACAUCUUCACCCAACUUUCCAUUAAGGAAAUCGGUUUUGACAUCCAUUUACCAUAUUUCAUAGUCAUGAAAUGCAGCUAUGGCUAGCAUAACCCUAAUAGAUUUUAUUUUUGCUACUGGUGAGAAGGUCUCAUCAUAGUCAACUCUCGGAGCGUGAGUAAAUUCAUUCGCAAACAGUUUCUCCUUAUAAGUGUGUACUUUCCCAUCCAUGUCGGUCUUCUUCUUGAAUUUGCACCCAACUAUCUUACGACCUGGUACAUUGGUAACCAAGUUCUAAACUUGAUUGUCAUACAUGGACUGAAUCUCACUGACCAUAGCCUCUUUCCACUUUGCAAACUCAGGGCCUGCCAUGGCUUCCUUGUAGUUGUUAAGUUCAUCCAAAUUUACCAGUGUGCUAUCACUAAUAAAUGUAUCACCUUCCGUAGUAAUAUCGAAACCAUAAAACUCAGGUGUAUUUCUAACUCUAGUGGAACGCCUCAGAGGUACAAAUUCUUCAAUUGGCUCAAUAGGAGUUUCCUCCUCAGGUUGAUCGCUAGUGUUUGAGGUUCCUUCACUGCUUGACUCUUGAUUUUCUUCAAGGUCAAUUUGCCUCCCACUGUUUCUUUGGCCUAUGAAUUCUCUCUCACGAAAGACUCUUCUCAUCGGAAUGAAGACAAAAUUGUCACUCUGUCUAUAGAAGAGAUAUCCAAAAGAUUGAUGUGGGUGUCCGAUGAAAAUACACCGCUCACUACAAGGGUCGAGCGUUUCAUGAGUCUCGCGUCUCACGAAAGCCUCGCAACCCCAAACCUUGAUGUUUACUAACGAGGGAACCUUUCGUGUCCACAUCUCGUGAGGUGUUUUGGGAACCCUCUUAGUUGGGACUAGAUUAAGGAUAUGGGUGGCAGUCUCUAUGGCAUACACCCAAAAUGAGAUAGGUACCAAAGCUCGAAUCAUUAUGGAACGAACCAUAUCCAACAACGUUCGAUUGUGCCUCUCAGCCACACCGUUAUGAUGUAGUGUCCUAGGAGGUGUCAAUUGUGAAACAAUUCCACAUCCCUUAAUAUAGUCAACGAAUUCGAUACUAAGAUACUCUCCACCCCGAUCGGAUUAGAGCAUCUUUAUUUUCCUGCCCAACUGAUUUUCCACUUCUUGUUUAAACUCUUUGAACUUUUCAAAGGUUUCUGACUUAUGCUUGAUUAAGUAGAUAUACUCAUAUUUGUUGUAAUCUUCAGUAAAAGUCACAUAGAGGCGGUUAGCAUCCAUUGUGGCGGUUUUGAAGGGUCCACAGACAUUUGUGUGUAUGAGGUCCAACAAACCUUCACCCUUUUCACAAGUACCAGUGAAGCGUGACUUAGUCAUCUUUCCAAGCAAACAAGAUUCACAACUAUCAUUUGACUUUAAGCCAAAUAAUUACAAGAAUCUAGCCAUUUGGAGUAGGCCUAUUCAUUUCUUGUUGACAUGUCGAAGAUGACAAUGCCACAAGGAUGAUUUAUCCAAACUAGUGGAAGAAUCAAUAUGCAAUACAUUAUUUCCUAAGUUGUCUACAACCAACACAGUUUCAUAUAAAAUACAUCAUUUUAAAAAGCAAUAACAACACCACUUUCAUUAUCAAACGAAAAACUAAAACCUUGUUUGUACAAACCAUGAAAUGAAAUAAUAUUUCUCCCCAUUUUAGAAGACUAACAACAAUUAUUCAAAUGUAAUUUUAACCCACUACAAAGCAAUAAAAAAUAAACUCUAAUCUUGAUGACAGGUGAAGCUUUCUUACUCCCCAUGAUUAAGUUUAGCUUCCCGUGCUCCACAUCCUUACUUCUUUUGAGCCCCUGCAAAUCAGAAAAAAUGUGAAUUCCACAACCUGUAUCAAGGACCCAAGAAUUAGUAUAUGGUGAGUUAUUAGACAAUAUAGUGUGAAUACCUAUAUGGGUGGGUUUUACAUUCCCAUCCUUAACAUCCUGCAAGUACUUGGGGCAGCUUCGCUUCCAAUUUUCCUUUUCAUGACAAUAAAAGCACACUGCUCUUUAGGGUUGGUGGAGGGAGUAUCGGAACUAACUUUAGUUCCACCAGAAGAGGACCCAUCAAGAGACUUUCCCUUUUGACCCUUGGUAGGGGUCUUCCUCUUCUUCCCUUUGCCUAGCCCGAUUUCCAGAACUGGGGCAGUAGUAGGAGUGGUGGCAACAUUUUUACCUUUGAGACUACUUUCAACAGUCCUCAAUAGUCCCUGAAGCUUGCUGAGGGUGACCUCCUCCUUGUUCAUAUGAUAAGUCAUAUGAAACUAAUCAUAACAGGGAGGAAGAGAAUGUAGAAUAAUAUCUAUGGCUAGUUCCUCAUCGAAGUUGCCAUUCAACUUCAACAGACGGUCCACAAACCUUUGUAUUUUCUAUAAGUGGCUCGUGAUGGACUCUCCAUCCUUCAAUUUAUUUGUUAUCAUGGAGAUGAUGAUUUCAUACCUCUAUUGAUGAGCACUCUGAUGGUAUAUUUCCAUCAAGUAUUGGUGCAUCUCAUAAGGGUAGAAAUCCUCAUAGGACUUUUGGAGUUUUGAUGUCAUAGUUGCUAGCAUGAUACAAGACACCUUAGUGACAUCCUUCUCAUGUGUAGUGUACUCAACAAUCUCCUCUAGAAUAGCAUAAGGCUCAUCAAUGACCUAAGCUCCUUGUCUAGGACAUAUUCCUUGUCCACAUAGCGAUUGACCAUCCUGAUGUUCCUAAUCCAAUCAUUGAAAUUAGUACCAUCGAAGAUGACUCUCCCAUAAAGGUUCAUGAGAGAGAAGGAGCCAGUUUUGGUUGAUCCAGAAGCAUUGUUGGAUGACAUCUGAAAAAGAAAGACAAUGUUUAGAUUAGAUAAGAGUCCUUCACAUAACACCCAAAUGAAAUAUUAAGGCUACGACCCAACAUAAUAUUUUACAAUUUGGAAGAGGGAUGUCGUAAUCCAAGUUGCAAAAUAUCUGAAGGUAGGAAAAUGGCGAUUUACCAAUUUCCACCAUAAAUAACGAAAUCGAUUAUUAGGUUUUAGAUGAAUUGAAAUUCCUAGAUUAUUUUGAGAUUCAUUGAACUUUUAAAUAGCAUGUUUAAAUCUCGAUUAUGCCCCUCAAGUUUGUGACUGGGAUACCGAGGAUUACAAACAAGUUGUGAAUAACCAUGCAAAUAUACUUAGUACUCUUAAUGUCAUUUAUCACCUAAUCGAUGUGCCCGUUAACCACACACGCUCCAUAUCUCUAUGACAAACAUUAAGCGAAAAUUUGCCACCCUUACUAGUCCAUGUUAUUGUGCCGUUAACCACACAUGAUCCACUAACGACUUGGUAAGGUGCAAAGUGUAAUUUCAUGGGUUAGAAUCUAUUUCACAUUUUCCUAAAGUAUCUAAGAUUGGGAAUUUAUAAGACGUUUAGUUACUUUAUAAUUAUCAUCAUACUUAAUGAGAAUUAGUGUCCUAUCCUACCCGUUCGGCUAACAACCCUCCAGCAAUCAAGGAACCAGUGCCUGAGAAUGGACACCCAUUAAACUGCCAUUUUAUAGGUAUUAACCGUAUACACUCUUAUAGACCGGCUUCGUGAAUGAGGCCUACUAACAGUAAGACUGACUUGUUUGUACACACACACACACACACACACAUAUAUAUAUAUAUAUAUAUAUAUAUAUUAAACUUUUAAUAUUAUAAUAGUAUAAGGAUUGACUUUUAAACUUAUAAAAUUCUAGGAUUUGGAAUUAAAGUAUUAAUGUGUGUGACUUUACAAAUUCCAAAACUUGAGGAAAAGUUUUGAAACUCUUCAAAACAUUUCAUAUCCAUAACAUAUGAGUUUAAUGACCUUUUAAAAAUGAGACUGUUCAUUUUCUAUAACAUAUAAGUUUAAUGACUCUUUUAAAGAAAAGACUUUUGGUUUAACAUUACUUGAGGACAAGUUAUGGAGUCCAUUAAAACCAUUUAUAUCAUUAAUACAAUAAACAAAUAAGUCAUGCAUGAUCUAAUUAAACCCAUAAGAACAAGAUAAUUCAUAUUAUCAAUCUUCAAGAAAUUAGCAUAAUCAUAUCAACUAAUACAAAUCUUGAAACUAUGACAAUUACCUUGUAAUUAGAUUAGGAUGCUCGUUACCAUAUCAUAAAAACAUAUUUAAUGAUUCAAAACAGUUUUUGGUAAUGUUCCUAAUCCAAUACUGGCCAAAAACCCCGAAAACAUGUUGUCUGCUCAUCAAACUCGUCGAACCCACUAGUGGAGUCGUCGAGUCCAAGGCAAGAUGCAUCAACUCGUUGAAUUGAUUCGUGCACUCACCGAGUUGUGAUGUUAGAUCACUUUUUCUGAUUUGAAAAAUCAUAUUCCAUCAACAAUAUAACAGAAAACAAUCCUAGGCUCUGAUACUACUAAUGAGUUUUGAGCACUUUAACAACCUUAAGGUGCACAUACAACCCUAAAUUAUUUGGAUCUAUGUUUUCUCUAAUUAUACAUGCAAUUUUGAUUUUUCCAAAGCAUUACCCUAACUAGCAUACAAAACGUUGAUACUUGUAUAAUAAAACUAGUUAGAUAACAUACCUUUCUUGUAGCUUGUUACGUGGAGCUUUAAGAGCCUAGCACCAAUAAUAUGAAUACCUCAAAUGGAACCACAAAUCACCACGAACAAUUGGAGGACUUGAGAGAGAGUAUCUUUGCACACAAAAAUUGGUUAUGCCAUUCACAAACACACACACUAGUCCGAUUUUAGUAGCUAUAGGAGUCCUUAUAUAGUGUGGCAUGAUUAGGGUUACAUCCAUGUAAACUCUAAUGCCCAUGACCUUUCGCAUUACUUAGGAUCCAUGGGUAAAAACCUCCAUGGACUAUCCAUUGACUUCCAUAAUGGUUUUAGCCCAUCCUAAAUAACCUCUUGGCCCAUUCUAUAAGAAUCCAUAUUUAAUUAGUCUCUCUUUGAUCACUAAAUUAAUUCCAAAUUAAUUCAUAACUAAUGCUAGUAAUAUGAUUUCAUAUUAAUAUAUUAGAAGGUAUAAUAUAUCAACAAAUCAUAAAUAUCCUCUUCUCAAAAGUCCAUCCUUACAAAUUGUUCCGGUUAAAUGUAACCUAAAUGGACCAUGCUAAAUCCGCUCAGACUUCCAGCGCUCCUCCUGCAUACCCUCAACCCGUGCCUCCCGUAUCUACACCAAAAUAGAAGUCACCACCGUCAUCCUCAAGCAAAUGUCUCUAAUAGGGGCUGCCUUCCGGCUAAGCACAUCGGCCACAACGUUGUCCUUCCCUGGGUGGUAGAGGAUUUCACAUUCAUAAUCCUUCACCAUAUCUAGCCACCGACGCUGACUCAUGUUCAGUUUUGGUUUAUCCAUGAGGUACCUUAAACUCUUGUGGUCCAUGUAAAUGGUACAUCAAACCCCAUAGAGGUAGCGUCACCAAAUCUUGAAGGAGAAGACAAUCGCCCCCAACUCCAGAUUAUAUGUCGGGUAGUUCGCCUCGUGAGGAUCCAGCUGCCUCAAGGCGUUGGCGAUAACAUGCCCUCUCUGCAUGAAUAUUGUGCCCAAACCUGAAAUGGAUGCAUCACAAUAUACUACAAAAUCCUCCAUGACCUAUGGCAGAACUAGGAUCGACGCCUCACACAUCUGACUCAACGUAUCAAAUGCCUCCUGCUGCUCAGGCCCCCAUCGAAAGACCACAACUUUCUUGGUCAACCGGGUCAAUGGUAUGACUAUCUUGGAGAAGUCCCGAAUGAAUCUUUGGUAAUAGCCUGCCAAUCCCAGGAAACUCGGAAUCUCAGAUGGAUACUUCGGAACCUCCCAUCUCAUCACGGCCUCUACUUUGGCCGGGUCGACCAAAAUGUUGUUCUGGCUGACAAGGUGGCCAAAAAAGUGUUGGAUAAGGUGUCUAAGUCCAUAACUAUUUCUGGUAAGUAAUUGACCCGACCCGGCAUACGCCAUUUGGGUUGCACGGCACCAUGCAAUUAAAUAGACUAAAUGAGAAAUAACACUUGGAGAUUAUUAACAUAUUAUAAGUUCGAAUAUAUUAAUAAUAUUAUUUAAUUAGUUUGAUCAAGAAUUAAUUUAGAACUAAUUAAGUGAUCAAAAGAUAACUAAUUAAAUAUUUGGGUUGAUUAUGUAAAUCAUCCAUAUCUUGUAUAGUGGGCUAAGAGGCUCCAUGGAUUCUCAAGUUGGGUUCCACCCAUAGGAUGCUCCAUGGAUGCUCCAUGGGAGUUACAAACCCAUGGGUCAUGGAAAUGAAGAGUCAUGACACAUUAGGCUUUACAUGGUGUAACCCUAGAUGUGUCAACACUAUAUUAGAGUCCUAUUCUCCAACAAAAUCGGCUACACAUAGGAAACAAGAGGGCUAGCCCGAUUUUAAGAAGUGUGUUUUCUCUCAAAAGUCUUUCCAAGAGCAUUUGGUGUAGUGUGAAGCAUUUGAGGCAUCACACUUGGGGUGCUAGGCUCACAAGGUUUCAAGGAACAUAAGCAACAACAAGGUAAGUUAUUCUAUCUUUCAUUCAAGUUAAAAAAUUAUUCCACAUGUAUGCUAGAUAGGAAUAUAACCUUGGAAUUCAACUUUGCAUGAUAAUUAGACAAACAUAGAUCCAAGGUUAUUAGGGUUGCAUGUUCACUUAGGAAGUGUUAGAAUGCUCAAAACCUAUUAGUGGUAUCAAAGCCUAGACUUGUUUGUUUGUUAUUUGUGCUAAAUUGUUGAGAAAAAUUCGAUUUUGUGCAAUCUGCCUGAUAAACUCAUAAUUUACAAGAAAUGAAAAGUUUUGAAAGUUUACAAAACUUGCCCUCAAGUUUUGGAACAAGUAAAGUCAUGUUAAAACUUUAGUUCUAACCCUUAGAUUUUUAAAAGUUAAAAUUAUACCCUUAUACUUAUAAUAUUAUAAGUUAAUAACAAUAUAUAUGUAUAAGAUCAAAAUCGUCUUACCGCUAGUACGACUCAUUCACGAAGUCGGUCUAUAAAGUGGGUAUAAGGUUGUUGCCUAUAAAAUGACAACUUAAUGGGUGUCCACUCUCACCCACCGCUUGCUUGACUGGUGGAGGGUCGUUAGCCGAACGGGUAGCACAAGGACUUAUAAAUUCUCAUUAAAAGUAUGAUGAAUAUUAUAAAGUAACUAAAUGCUUUUAUUAAAUUCCCAAUCUUAGUUACUUUAGGAAAAAUGUGAAUAAGGUGCUAAUCCAUGAAAUUACACUUUACACUUUGUUUAAGUCGUUGGUGGAGCGUGUGUGGUUAACCGGCACACUAACUUGGACUUAACAAGGUAGGUAAAGGGUGACUUAAGGUUUAUCAUAGUAUCGGUGGAGCGUGUGUGGUUUACCGGCACAUCGAUUGAGUGAUAAACUUUAA